rnacentral:rRNA from 1 species
CCUACGGGAGGCAGCAGUGGGGAAUUUUGGACAAUGGACGCAAGUCUGAUCCAGCCAUUCCGCGUGCAGGACGAAGGCCUUCGGGUUGUAAACUGCUUUUGUACGGAACGAAAAAGCUCUUAUUAAUACUAGGAGUCCAUGACGGUACCGUAAGAAUAAGCACCGGCUAACUACGUGCCAGCAGCCGCGGUAAUACGUAGGGUGCAAGCGUUAAUCGGAAUUACUGGGCGUAAAGCGUGCGCAGGCGGUUAUAUAAGACAGAUGUGAAAUCCCCGAGCUUAACUUGGGAACUGCAUUUGUGACUGUAUAGCUAGAGUACGGCAGAGGGGGAUGGAAUUCCGCGUGUAGCAGUGAAAUGCGUAGAUAUGCGGAGGAACACCGAUGGCGAAGGCAAUCCCCUGGGCCUGUACUGACGCUCAUGCACGAAAGCGUGGGGAGCAAACAGGAUUAGAUACCCUGGUAGUCCACGCCCUAAACGAUGUCAACUGGUUGUUGGGUCUUCACUGACUCAGUAACGAAGCUAACGCGUGAAGUUGACCGCCUGGGGAGUAACGGCCGCAAGGUUGAAACUUAAAGGAAUUGACGG